rnacentral:rRNA from 1 species
CCUACGGGAGGCAGCAGUGGGGAAUAUUGGACAAUGGGCGCAAGCCUGAUCCAGCCAUGCCGCGUGAGUGACGAAGGUCUUCGGAUUGUAAAGCUCUUUUGGCGGGGACGAUAAUGACGGUACCCGCAGAAUAAGCCCCGGCUAACUUCGUGCCAGCAGCCGCGGUAAUACGAAGGGGGCUAGCGUUGUUCGGAAUUACUGGGCGUAAAGCGCACGUAGGCGGAUUGCUAAGUCAGGGGUGAAAUCCCGGGGCUCAACCUCGGAACUGCCUUUGAUACUGACAGUCUUGAGUCCGGAAGAGGUGAGUGGAAUUCCUAGUGUAGAGGUGAAAUUCGUAGAUAUUAGGAAGAACACCAGUGGCGAAGGCGGCUCACUGGUCCGGUACUGACACUGAGGCGCGAAAGCGUGGGGAGCAAACAGGAUUAGAUACCCUGGUAGUCCACGCUGUAAACGAUGAAUACUUGGUGUUGAUUUCAUUGAGAUCAGUGCCGGAGCUAACGCAUUAAGUAUUCCACCUGGGGAGUACGAUCGCAAGGUUGAAACUCAAAGGAAUUGACGGGG